rnacentral:tRNA from 1 species
GCCUGGGUGGCACAGUGGUUGAGCGUCUGCCUUUGGCUCAGGGCGUGAUCCCAGCGUUGUGGGAUCGAGCCCCACAUCAGGCU